UACGAAGGGGGGCUAGCGUUGUUCGGAAUUACUGGGCGUAAAGGGCGCGUAGGCGGCCAUUCAAGUUAGGUGUGAAAGCCCUGGGCUCAACCUAGGAAUUGCACUUGAUACUGUUUGGCUUGAGUUCGGGAGAGGUGAGUGGAAUUCCCAGUGUAGAGGUGAAAUUCGUAGAUAUUGGGAAGAACACCAGUGGCGAAGGGCGGCUCACUGGACCGACACUGACGCUGAGGCGCGAAAGCGUGGGGAGCAAAGCAGGAUUAAGAAACCCCGAGUAAC
rnacentral:rRNA from 1 species